rnacentral:rRNA from 1 species
UACGUAGGGUGCGAGCGUUAAUCGGAAUUACUGGGCGUAAAGCGUGCGCAGGCGGUUUUGUAAGUCUGACGUGAAAUCCCCGAGCUCAACUUGGGAAUUGCAAUGGAUACUGGCAGGCUGGAGUAUGGUAGAGGAAGGUGGAAUUCCCGGUGUAGCAGUGAAAUGCGUAGAGAUCGGGAGGAACACCAGUGGCGAAGGCGGCCUUCUGGACCAAUACCGACGCUCAUGCACGAAAGCGUGGGGAGCAAACAGG